UUAUUUUAUCUCAUAAGACCAUACUAACAACAUCAGGAUCAGUCGCAGAGCAAGGAUUUACAAAUGGGGGAGGGAUCCGUCAAACUAGUCGAGAUGCCUUGGUGGGCGGCUGCCGACAGCUUCAUUAUUAAAUAUUAAACCACAGAACCAAAAAAUCAAUAGGGUGGGAUACAGCAGUUUUAGUUAUAAAAUCGACAUCCUUCGGGUAUUGACCACUAUCAUUAUAAUUACACCAUAAAAGUUAAAAACAAAAUAUGUUUAUACAAAUAGUAGUAUACAAAUGUUAUUUUUCUAUUAAUAAUAUUAAUAAUAAAUAAAAGUGGAAUAAUUAAGUUAUCAUUAAGUUAAUCGUUAAUUCUUAAACAUUUUUAGAAAAUGUUCUCUUUUUCAACUGGAAAUGUUUAGUCUCACUUUUCAAUAGGUGAUAAAAAUUAUGGACAUGGGUAUCGCUGUUUUUAUAGUAAUAUUAUAAAAGGUUUCAACUAUAUCAUUGUAUACAUAACGUAAGAUAAUACUGUUGUACAAAUAUUCAGUCAACCUUGGAAUUUUUGAAUAAAAAUUCAUUGGAAAAUAUUAUUAAGAGCGUGCAAGUCGGCAAUAAAUAAAGUAAUGAAAGUUUGUUGAUUAGUAUAGGUGAUGGGGAUAUUAUAGUAAUAUCGAUAUUUAAUGGUAUAAUGUUAAUGUAUGUAGUCCAUACACUUAAUUUAAAUUUGAAAUUAAAUUAAAAUGAUAUUAUUUUAUUAUGUUAUGUUUUACAAUCAUUAUUUUUUUGUUUGGGUUUGUUUUGAUUACUAUUAUUGUUCAUCGGAAAAAUGUUUCUGAAAGGAGUAAAAUAUACUCUAUGAUAGAAGGUAAUAUAAGUAGGUAAAUAAUUUUCAAAAUGACUUAACCAUUGUAAGCUAAGUAUAAUGUUUUAAAAACUUGAUAUUUCUUUUCAGUGCGAUUGUUAAGCAAUGUUAAAUUUUUACUUGUAUGACAUAACGAUUGACUGCAGGAUUAAUAAUAAAGUGAUGUAGGAUAAAAAAUAUAUACAAAUCUAUCAUAAACAAACAGAAGAUAACUAAAUUUACAAUUUUUUCAAUCGUUUUAACAUCGUGAUGAAAAUACGGGCAUAGUACCUACGUUUAUCCUAGUGUAGCAUCCUCUAUAGUCUUGUUAAUGAUAAUAUUAGUUUAAACUUAAAGUACUAGACUCAUAUUUUUUUAAAUAAAGUUCGAUUUAAAAUAACAAACCUCGGUAAGCUACAUUGGUUUGAAAAAUGGCUUGUUAAUUAUUAAACAAAAAUAAUGCUGGUAGAUACUGAACAAACUACAAAAACUGGUUGUUCUACACUUUUACACUUGUACACUUGUCCCGUAUAUCAUGUCAUGUUACCUUGAUAUAAUCCAGUAUUAUAUUUAUUCUGAAUUUUAUAGAAAUGAUCAGUCAUACACAUUCUAAAAAUGACAGUGUGGUGUAUAUGUUAGUAUGGACUAGGUAUAUUGUAUAAUUAUGUGUAUACUGUCAGUUCAUGUUUUUUGUGGUUUUUAUCAGUACUUAUUUAGUUAUUUUACGUUCUCUGAAAAAUUAUAAUAUAUAACCUCUACACAAUUUACCUAGGAUUGAUUAUUAUACAAUUAUACAUUUAAAGGUUUAUUAACAUCGGGAUAUUAAAUAAUGAAUAUUGUAAUGCGUUGGGUUUCUUUUACAAAUUACCCAACUAAACCUUAUUUGACCUAUUAUUACUUUGGCCUAUUAUUUAAAUGAUUCUUAUCGUCUAUUAACAUUAUGAGUUCAUGACGAUGAGUUCGAUUUACGAGCACCGAGUAUGUAUCAACAAAUAAGAACGUGUAAGUUACUAUAAUAUAGUUUAUUUAUUUAUUUUAAUUAUAUCAACUAUUACAAUAAUAUGAUAAUGUAUACAAAUUAAAUUCUGAAUAUACUAAUAACUAAAAUAGAAAAAAAAAUUGAAUUACGAUUUAAAUACACUAAAUUCAAAGACUGCUAAUAAUAGUUAGCAAAUACACAUUUAUUACUUGCAGUCAUUACAAGAUUAGCAGGGCAGUUCAUGAUAUUAUAAUUUUUAUAAUGGAACUUAUUUGAUAAAAAGGUUUAAGAUCUCGUUCAUUGAAAGAAUUUACUUGAAAUAUUAUUAGAGAAAAGGGUUCAGAGCAACCGAUAAAAGCUAAAAAAUAUUAAUGUAUGUACAAAUUUAGAGAGUAAAAGCGAACGCCUGUCGUUAGUGAAGAUAGGUAUUAUACUAUUUUCGUUUUAGAUUUAAGUUAGUGGAUGUUAAAAUAGGUACUAAUAUGAUUAAAAUAUUAAAUUAUAAACUAUUUAUCAGUAAAUGUGUACAAAAACAUGACUUACUUGUAGAUUAUUUCCUAUUUUAUAUAUGUAUCAUGUAUAUGUAACACCUAUAUUAAUAUUAUUUUACAUAAUUGUAAUUUAUAUUAUAUAAUUGUGUCGUAAUAAGUUUAUCAUCAAUAUGUUAUACCUACUUGGGUACCACGUGAGAACAUUAUGAUUCAACACUACACAAAACAUAAUUAUUCAUAAAUAUAUUUAUUACAUUUUUACUUUUACAUAUUGCACUCGUUAACCGUUGCAUUCCAUGCUAUGCGAAUACAAUUUAAUUUAUAAUUAUGUAAUUGUCAUUAAUAUAUAAGAUUAUCAGUCAUUCGUUUUCACAGGUGUAAUUCAAUUAUUCGCGUUUACGACAUUGAUAACGCUCAUUGUAAUGUUCGUAAUCCUACUUAUAAGUGUGUAAUAUAAUUUUAACAAACUCAAUAAUCAAAUUUUCAAUUUGUUCACGUACAUAAUGUUAACGUGACUUGGAAAAAUGUACCUAAAAUUAUUAUUAUAAUCAUUAAUUAUAUUGCACAGUAUAACUUUUUGGCGAGUGUCCAUCAAAAUUACUACUUAUUGAAUUUUUUAUAAAUAAGAAAUAUAAAUAAUUUGUAUGUUUUAUGAUAUUUAAAUGUAUGCAAUACAUACCUAGACUUUUAAUUUUAUACGUAUUAUCAAAAUUAAGAGGACGUUACCCAUGUGUUUGUUGUCUCCGUCUUACAAACGUAACGUACGACGUACCAAACUGUCAUUCACUAGUUUCAAUAGUACGCUGUUAAGUCUUAAUGUUAGACUGAAUUUAUAUAGUAUAAAACUUUUAAGUAGAAAAUUUUCUGGGUGACUUUUUUCAUAUUUUAAUUUUUGAAACAAGAAAUUAGUAUGCGAAAUAUUAAAAAAUUAAUAUAAUCAUAUUAUCUCACUCGAAAAUUCAAAUACCAAACAAAAACUAACGCUUAAACACAGAUAAUGUUCUUACCUAAGAGUUUGAUAAUAGGUAAAUUCAUUCAAAUAUCAAAAAUAACAGCAUACUAUUGAAACUAGUGAACAACAAUUUGCUACGUUGUACGUGUUUAAGACUAAUGCAACAAAUGCAAAGUGUUCUAUUAAAGAUCUUAUUACAAUUUGUGUUAAGCAUAUACAUCGAGACGACUAUCUAUAAGUAUAAGAUUAAAAAAAAAUACAUUUUAAAAGUUAUGUGUAUCCAACGUUUUGGUGUCCUACUACAUGGCUUCGUGGAUAUUUUUAAUUCAAAUAAAAUACAUAGAUUUUCACAUUGAUGGAGGUUAGUGAAAGCAAAUUGGAUCUAAUCGCAAACAGCGUACAUUUUUCACUUUUAUCAUUUGAUAUUAACAAAUGCUAAAUAUGGUAUAACCCAUCUCAUUGAAAAUUAAGAAAUACAUUCAUAUAUAUGAAAAAAUCGUUUUAAAAAAACUCAUAUAGUACAACUCAACUAAUCUAUAUUUAAAUAGGAAUAUAUAAUUUAAAUCUAAUGUAACGCGAAUUCAGGCUAUUGUGGCAAAUGUACAAAAUAUUUAUUUUGGAUAUGUACUAAAUUUUCAACUAUGGCAUAGUGAAUGGUACUAAAUUAAUUUCUUAAAUUCAUGAUGUAUUAAGCGACAAGCAAUUAUUAUGGUCAUUGAUCAUAUUAAAGAUGAAAAAACAAUGAAAACACAGAAAGGGUUUUUCGUAAAAUUUAUCACUGACCACUAUAUUGAGUUUAAUUGUUACAAAAAAAACCACAAGACAACGAUUUUAGUACAUUUUGAUUUUGAUAUACUUUUACACAUUUAUUUUAACUCCUGAGUCGCAGAGCCACAGUGGGAUGAAUUAAAAAGUAUCCCCAGUAAUAUCGAAAGGUAAAAGUGGAAAAGUCACGUAGUGGGAUGUAUCGAUUUUAAGUGAUCUAUACCGUCGGCGGUGGUGAGGUAAUAAUGUUUCGUUCAUGAAGUUGGCUCCGCGGCUAUGCCCAAUCAACUUUAGACCUAUUUUAAAAUUUAGUAACUCUUAGUAGCUAAUUGUAACCGACAACAAACAAUUUAUAAUGUAUUCGUAUGGAAUAAUUUAAACUGUUCACAUAAGAUGAUUGGCCGUCACAAAUAACCGUUACAUAUAUCGUUAAGAAUAUCGAUUACUGAAAACCAGUUGGACGCGAAUACUAGAUGAAACUACAAUUGUUCCGAAAACCGACAACUAUUCGUUAUAGUACGCGUCAGACGUCAUCAAAAUUCAAAGCCGUUGUAUGUGCAUGAUCGUGGAUGAUGGUCCGAAGUCAUUGACCUGAUUUAUAAGAUGGAUAUUUCACUUAAUCAGUUAGGGGCUCGUGUAAUAACAGUAUAUUUCAGUCGUUCAGCAUUCACUGAAAUGUCACUAUAUGAGGUGUGAAAAUAUAAUGUGCCCUCGGGUUAGGUGUCAUUCAAUAGUAUAAUACAAACCGGGCAGUAGCGGCAGUAGCGAAAUAUUUCAACUAUUAACAAGUAGGUAUAGUAUAUUAUGGACAAUCAUAAUAAAGUGUAGUUGUUUUGUACGUAAGAAAGAAACAAUGAUAUUAUAUUCUUCCGUUACCCCCCUUAAUUUUCAUUACAUUUCAUAAUAACUAAAAAUGGUUAUCUAUGUAUAAUAUGACUAUGGCGUGCUAUAAGGAGUACUGUAGUAGAGGCCAGAAGUUAUCGAGGCUUUUCAAUUCCAACAUUAAUACAUAUUAUCUUAAUCCCGUCACAGACCGAUACUUCUACUGUACCUACUGCCGCAUAAAAUAUCAAAACAAAACACAAUAUUAUUGUUAAUCCAAUAAACAUAAGCCAGUACGAUCGUUCUCUUUGCCAAAUCUUAGUAAAUCAACACGUCUUAUUAGUUCAAGCAGUAUAUGAUUUUCGUACGGACAAACACUUAGAACACGGUUCGACUGGAGUUAUAUUUAUUACCUACUGAUCUUGUAGUACAUAAUACAUGGUACCGCGGAAGUGUCGGAUCCAACCUGCAUCGUCGAAAAGCAAUGGCGAAUCGUUCGAGAAAUCUGCUCUAGCUCAGGCGUGGAUCCAGGGGGCUAAAGGGCUUUAGCCCCCCUUCAAACAUCGUGGACAGAUGGACCUUACCCAGAUGGGCACCACCGAAUCGUCGUAGUGGAACUGCUCGUACGUGUAGUGCAUCAUCUCGUAGUUCUUGUCGAACAUGUAAUUGUCGAACACGCCGUGUUUCUCGGAG